rnacentral:rRNA from 1 species
UACAGAGGAUGCAAGCGUUAUCCGGAAUGAUUGGGCGUAAAGCGUCUGUAGGUGGCUUUUUAAGUCCGCCGUCAAAUCCCAGGGCUCAACUCCGGGUCUGCAGUCGAUACGGGCGGACUUGAGUACUGCAGGGGAGACUGGAAUUCCUGGUGUAGCGGUGAAAUGCGCAGAUAUCAGGAGGAACACCGGUGGCGAAGGCGGGUCUCUGGGCAGUAACUGACGCUGAGGAGCGAAAGCGUGGGGAGCGAACAGG